GACGAACGCUGGCGGCGUGCUUAACACAUGCAAGUCGAACGAUGAAGCCGGAGCUUGCUCUGGUGAAUUAGUGGCGAACGGGUGAGUAACACGUGAGCAAUCUGCCCUUGACUCUGGGAUAACUGCGGGAAACUGUAGCUAAUACCGGAUACGACGCACGGAGGCAUCUCCUGUGCGUGGAAAGAAUUUUUGGGUCCAAAGGGAUGAGCUCGCGGCCUAUCAGCUAGUUGGUGAGGUAAUGGCUCACCAAGGCGACGACGGGUAGCCGGCCUGAGAGGGUGACCGGCCACACUGGAACUGAGACACGGUCCAGACUCCUACGGGAGGCAGCAGUGGGGAAUAUUGCACAAUGGGCGAAAGCCUGAUGCAGCAACGCCGCGUGAGGGAUGAAGGCCUUCGGUUGUAAACCUCUUUAGUUGGUAAGAAGCGAAAGUGACGGUACC
rnacentral:rRNA from 1 species